GGAGGAGCGCCGGAGUGGGAGAGCCGGGGCGGACUGUAAAUCCGUUGUCUCUGACUGAGUAGGUUCGAAUCCUAUCUCCUCCA
rnacentral:tRNA from 2 species